rnacentral:rRNA from 1 species
GAUGAACGCUGGCGGCGUGCCUAAUACAUGCAAGUCGAGCGAAUGGAUUGAGAGCUUGCUCUUAUGAAGUUAGCGGCGGACGGGUGAGUAACACGUGGGUAACCUGCCCAUAAGACUGGGAUAACUCCGGGAAACCGGGGCUAAUACCGGAUAACAUUUUGAACCGCAUGGUUCGAAAUUGAAAGGCGGCUUCGGCUGUCACUUAUGGAUGGACCCGCGUCGCAUUAGCUAGUUGGUGAGGUAACGGCUCGCAAAGGCAACGAUGCGUAGCCGACCUGAGAGGGUGAUCGGCCACACUGGGACUGAGACACGGCCCAGACUCCUACGGGAGGCAGCAGUAGGGAAUCUUCCGCAAUGGACGAAAGUCUGACGGAGCAACGCCGCGUGAGUGAUGAAGGCUUUCGGGUCGUAAAACUCUGUUGUUAGGGAAGAACAAGUGCUAGUUGAAUAAGCUGGCACCUUGACGGUACCUAACCAGAAAGCCACGGCUAACUACGUGCCAGCCGCCGCAGUAA